GUGUUGGCGUAUAUAUCUUACCUCUAGAAUAUUAGGAGCAUAAAAUCUGUAGUAUCAAAAUUAAUUUUGGAAACUUAGACAUUUGAUUGGGGAAGAUAGAUAUAGUAAAUUCCACUUAGGGUUUGGAGUUUUUUUUCGUUUUAAAACAUAAAAUAAAAAUCAGUCUUACUAGGACCUUGUUUUCUUUGAAAUCUUAGUUGUUGGGACUCAAAAAAUUGAAAGAAGAAGGAGAUGGUUUGAGGCGAAAAAUUGAUAUUAGUUUGGGGAUUCUUCUAUUGCGAAAUCAGGUAGGUUUUUUAACUCUUAUAUUCAUUAUGAUGGGUCUGAUGAUUCUAAAAAGCUUUAAGGGUUUUGUCACUUUCUGAACAGUAAGGAGAGGAAGGAUCUAAAUUUUUAUUACUGUCGUAGUGACCCUAGACCGAUGCUAUUUGAUGUCUGGAUACUUCUGAUUAUCAUUUGUUGAUGCGCACUAAGAUGCUUUGACGCAGUAAGUUGUUUUUGAAAUAUUUCUUCAUAUAUAUAUAUCUAUCUUACAAAAACAAAUGUGUUUUUGUUAAUCUGACGGAUAUGAAUGGGCGUUUUAAGACGAUCGACGACUCAUAUUCCUAUGAAAGUGCAAAAGAUAAAUCGUGGCCCAUUUAUUGUCCGUUACAAACCAAAAUCACCACCACUCAAAAGGCGUUUUAUUCUUCAUUCAUUGGUAAUCAACCCAUUUGGUUUUUGAAACGCUCUAUCAAAUGUUUGAGUAUAUAUAUAUCUCUUUGUGUAAUCUUCGGCUCCCACUCCGCAAGUUCAACAUUCAUCUCCAGGAAAAGAGUUUACCAUUGUGUUAUUGGUGAUGUUGUCAUUCUCCUUUCUCUUACAGGGUUUAGAAAUUACUUGGAAAGGUUGUUUACACUGCUAGCGAGAGGUCCUGCCGAAUAACUUCGCUCCACAAACAAACUCAGGGUUAAUUAGAGUUGUUACUUCUGCUUUAGAGCUGUUACUUCUGCUUAUGAUAGAGCCUUCUUCCAUGUUCAGGAACUAGGGAAAGACCCAUGGAUACUCAUCAUACGCGGGCUGUUAGCAAUCAAAAAUCUCUCGCAAGACAUGCCAAUCUAGCAGACCUCUCGCAGUAUAUACAACUGCGAGAAUAAGGCAUUAGACAAUGAUAUCAUUUACGUAAUGGACAAUGAACCUAUAUUCAAAGGAAGAAGGAGAACGCAAGGUUGUUGCAGCUUUUGAAGAGCUGUUGAAUGUGGAGAUGGACUACCAAUUAAUGUCUGCGUAAAACAAUAAGAAGCAAGCCAAUCCAAGCUUCACGGUUACUCAUUGCCUUGCACUGCUAUGCGCCCCACAACAGAAACUCCCUCAAGCCCUGUUCUCACAACCCCAAAAGUUGAAACUGACCCCGAUGACAAUGAUGAGUCACCUUGCAAAAGGACAAAGUUACAGUCGACCUGGAAGCCAAAAGGGGAAAUCAAGGUUGUAGACUCAAACUUGAUUUUUCACGAGAUCUUUUGACAGGGUCCAAUGUGACUAGCAGUGCUGGAGAUUUAGAGGCUAACGUGACAGGCUCCACUGUUCUUAGCAGUGUUGAAGACUUAGCGUCGAACGUGUCAGGCUCCACUGUGCUCAGCAGUGAUGAAGAGUGAAGACUGAAGGGCAGGAGAUUGUUGGGGUCAUAGAUGUGAUGAGCAGUAUUUGCUUGAGUUUUAUUGUUUAUCUUUUUAUGUUAGUUUUUUAACAAUGUUUGGGGACUUUUAAAUUUUGUCGGAUGUAGUUAGGGACCAAAAGGUAUUGGGGUAAAUCACUCAAGAGUUAAGUUAUCCUGCUUCUAUAAUAAUGAUUUGUUUUUAA